rnacentral:rRNA from 1 species
GACGAACGCUGGCGGCGUGCCUAAUACAUGCAAGUAGAACGCUGAAGGAGGAGCUUGCUUCUCUGGAUGAGUUGCGAACGGGUGAGUAACGCGUAGGUAACCUGCCUGGUAGCGGGGGAUAACUAUUGGAAACGAUAGCUAAUACCGCAUAAGAGUAGAUGUUGCAUGACAUUUGCUGAAAAGUUUCAAUUGCAUCACUACCAGAUGGACCUGCGUUGUAUUAGCUAGUUGGUGAGGUAAAGGCUCACCAAGGCAACGAUACAUAGCCGACCUGAGAGGGGGGUCGGCCAGACUGGGACUGAGACACGGCACAGUGUCAUACGGGAGGCAGCAGUAGGGAAUCUUGGGCAAUCGGCGGAAGUCUGAGCGAGCAACGCGGCGUGAGUGAAGAAGGUUUUCGGAUCGUAAAGGUCUGUUGUAAGAGAAGAACGAGUGUGAGAGUGGAAAGUUCACACUGUGACGGUAUCUUACCAGAAAGGGACGGCUAACUACGUG